AUGAACGCUGGCGGCGUGCCUAAUACAUGCAAGUCGCGCGAACAGACGAGGAGCUUGCUCCUCUGACGUUAGCGGCGGACGGGUGAGUAACACGUGGAUAACCUACCUAUAAGACUGGGAUAACUUCGGGAAACCGGAGCUAAUACCGGAUAAUAUAUUGAACCGCAUGGUUCAAUAGUGAAAGACGGUUUUGCUGUCACUUAUAGAUGGAUCCGCGCUGCAUUAGCUAGUUGGUAAGGUAACGGCUUACCAAGGCGACGAUGCGUAGCCGACCUGAGAGGGUGAUCGGCCACACUGGAACUGAGACACGGUCCAGACUCCUACGGGAGGCAGCAGUAGGGAAUCUUCCGCAAUGGGCGAAAGCCUGACGGAGCAACGCCGCGUGAGUGAUGAAGGUCUUCGGAUCGUAAAACUCUGUUAUUAGGGAAGAACAAAUGUGUAAGUAACUAUGCACGUCUUGACGGUACCUAAUCAGAAAGCCACGGCUAACUACGUG
rnacentral:rRNA from 1 species